rnacentral:tRNA from 1 species
GCCGGGAUAGCUCAGCUGGCAGAGCAGCCGCCUUGUAAGCGGCAGGUCAGGGGUUCGAGUCCCCUUCCCGGCU